rnacentral:snRNA from 1 species
CAGUGUUAUAGUUUUUUAAAAUUUGUUUAGCAGGCUUUCCAGUUUUUGCUGGAAAGCCCUC